rnacentral:tRNA from 1 species
UGUUUAUAAUAUGAGUUGGUAAAGAGUCUGCCUGCAAUGCAGAAGACACAUGUUUGAUCCAUGGAUCAGCAU